rnacentral:ncRNA from 1 species
GUCUAAGUGCAUGCCGUAUUAAGGAGAAACCGCGAAUGGCUCAUUAAAUCAGUUAUGGUUCCUUGGAUCGUACCUUACUACUUGGAUAACUGUGGCAAUUCUAGAGCUAACACAUGCAGCAGAGCUCUGACCCUCUGGGAACGAGCGCUUUUAUUAGACCAAAACCAAUCGAACCUCGUGUCCGUAUUAUGUGGUGACUCUGUAUAACUUUGAGUUGAUUGCACGGGCUCGUCCCGGCGACGUAUCUUUCAAGUGUCUGCCUUAUCAACUGUCGAUGGUAGGUUACGCGUCUACCAUGGUCAUAACGGGUAACAGUGCACCGGUAAACCAGGAC